GUAUAACUUAGUGGCAGACGGGUGAGUAAUGUAUAGGAAUCUACCUAGUAGUACGGAAUAAUUGUUGGAAACGGCAACUAAUACCGUAUACGCCCUACGGGGGAAAAAUUUAUUGCUAUUAGAUGAGCCUAUAUUAGAUUAGCUAGUUGGUGGAGUAAUAGCCUACCAAGGCAAUGAUCUAUAGCUGAUCUGAGAGGAUGAUCAGCCACACUGGAACUGAGAUACGGUCCAGACUCCUACGGGAGGCAGCAGUGGGGAAUAUUGGACAAUGGGCGAAAGCCUGAUCCAGCCAUGCCGCAUGAGUGAAGAAGGCCUUUGGGUUGUAAAGCUCUUUUAGUGAGGAAGAUAAUGACGGUACUCACAGAAGAAGUCCUGGCUAACUCCGUGCCAGCAGCCGCGGUAAUACGGAGAGGGCUAGCGUUAUUCGGAAUUAUUGGGCGUAAAGGGCGCGUAGGCUGGUUAAUAAGUUAAAAGUGAAAUCCCGAGGCUUAACCUUGGAAUUGCUUUUAAAACUAUUAAUCUAGAGAUUGAAAGAGGAUAGAGGAAUUCCUGAUGUAGAGGUAAAAUUCGUAAAUAUUAGGAGGAACACCAGUGGCGAAGGCGUCUAUCUGGUUCAAAUCUGACGCUGAAGCGCGAAGGCGUGGGGAGCAAACAGGAUUAGAUACCCUGGUAGUCCACGCUGUAAACGAUGAAUGUUAAAUAUGGGAAGUUUACUUUCUGUAUUACAGCUAACGCGUUAAACAUUCCGCCUGGGGACUACGGUCGCAAGAUUAAAACUCAAAGGAAUUGACGGGGACCCGCACAAGCGGUGGAGCAUGUGGUUUAAUUCGAUGCAACGCGAAAA
rnacentral:rRNA from 1 species